rnacentral:rRNA from 1 species
AUUGAACGCUGGCGGCAGGCCUAACACAUGCAAGUCGAGCGAGCGGCGGACGGGUGAGUAAUGUAUGGGAAUCUGCCCGAUAGAGGGGGAUACCUCCUGGAAACGGUGGCUAAUACCGCAUACUAUCGGAUGUGCCCAUAUGGGCUUAGCUAGUAGGUGGGGUAAAGGCUCACCUAGGCGACGAUCCCUAGCUGGUCUGAGAGGAGGACCAGCCACACGGGGACUGAGACACGGUCCAGACUCCUACGGGAGGCAGCAGUGGGGAAUAUGGCACAAUGGGCGCAAGCCUGAUGCAGCCAUGCCGCGUGUAUGAAGAAGGCCUUAGGGUUGUAAAGUACUUUCAGCGGGGAGGCGUUACCCGCAGAAGAAGCACCGGCUAACUCCGUGCCAGCAGCCGCGGUAAUAC